UGGGCGUAAGCGCGCGCAGGUGGUUUCUUAAGUCUGAUGUGAAAGCCCACGGCUCAACCGUGGAGGGUCAUUGGAAACUGGGAGACUUGAGUGCAGAAGAGGAAAGUGGAAUUCCAUGUGUAGCGGUGAAAUGCGUAGAGAUAUGGAGGAACACCAGUGGCGAAGGCGACUUUCUGGUCUGUAACUGACACUGAGGCGCGAAAUCGUGGGGAGCAAACAGGAUUAGAUACCCUGGUAGUCCAC
rnacentral:rRNA from 1 species